rnacentral:rRNA from 1 species
UGGGGAAUAUUGCACAAUGGAGGGAACUCUGAUGCAGCGACGCCGCGUGAACGAAGAAGGCUUUCGAGUCGUAAAGUUCUUUUAUAUGGGAAGAUAAUGACGGUACCAUAAGAAAAAGCCCCGGCUAACUACGUGCCAGCAGCCGCGGUAAUACGUAGGGGGCUAGCGUUGUCCGGAAUCACUGGGCGUAAAGGGUUCGCAGGCGGAAAUGCAAGUCAGGUGUAAAAGGCAGUAGCUUAACUACUGUAAGCAUUUGAAACUGCAUAUCUUGAGAAGAGUAGAGGUAAGUGGAAUUUUUAGUGUAGCGGUGAAAUGCGUAGAUAUUAAAAGGAAUACCGGUGGCGAAGGCGGCUUACUGGGCUCAUUCUGACGCUGAGGAACGAAAGCGUGGGUAGCAAACAGG